rnacentral:lncRNA from 1 species
GCUGGCAGUAUUCUUAAUUUCUUUCUUGGCCACCCUGAUUGUCCAGGAGGAAGCCGAGGGAAGCAGCAGAAGCCUGUAACUUCCUGCUUCCUGUCUCCUCCCAGCGGCUUGGGAGCCAGGGCCCUCCCACCAGCCGGCCAGAGAAAACUCUGUAGGAAUCUGGCCAGUCCUACCUGCCUCUGUUCCUCUAUACUGGGGCUGCAGGAAUGCCCCCCACUCCGGCCCCCUGCCAGGACCCUCACCAGGGCCUGGCGGCUCCUCCAGGCCCCUGGGGUUUGGCUGAUAGCUUCUUUGUUCCUGGUACUUGUGCUCCGAGGCCCCUGUGGAGCUGGAGGCAGGCAGAAGCUACUUAGGCAGCCGGCAUGGAUGGUGCUGAUCCAGCCAGGUGACCAUGCUCCUCCUGUGCAUCUGUGUUGAAGCCAAGGUGAAGGAGACCUGAACGAAGAACUGUCCAGAAAGGAAGCUGGGUUUUGCUGUUUCUUGUCAUGCCUUUGAGCCUCUGUGACGUUUGGAGGUUAACUGCUUUCCUUCGGCUGGCUUCGUCACCCGCCAGCGGGGAGUCUGGGUGAUCAGGUGCUCCGCUUCCUUCUGCCUCCCAUAAAGAUGGUGUCUGGGGUGGGACCAGGGCGCAUGCCUGGGUUUGGCCUCCAGUCCUGGGGCUUCCCACAUACCUCUUCCCCUUACGAGGGCCUGCUCUGCCUCUGGCCUGGAGGUGGAUGG